rnacentral:rRNA from 1 species
CGUGUAGGCGGGAUCUUAAGUCGGUGGUGAAAUCCUCUGGCUCAACCAGGGAACUGCCACCGAAACUGAGGUUCUUGAGGGCAGGAGAGGAGAGUGGAAUUGCUGGUGUAGCGGUGAAAUGCGUAGAGAUCAGCAAGAACACCCGUGGCGAAGGCGGCUCUCUGGACUGCUCCUGACGCUGAGACGCGAAAGCCAGGGGAGCGAACGGGAUUAGAUACCCCGGUAGUCCUGGCCGUAAACGAUGGUCACUAGGUGUCGGAGGAUCGACCCCCUCGGCGCCGUAGCAAACGCGUUAAGUGACCCGCCUGGGGAGUACGGCCGCAAGGCUGAA